rnacentral:lncRNA from 1 species
CAGCAAGACGGUCAGGUGCUCCAAAACUGUCAUUGCAGGCUGGCAGAGGUGGUUAGGGUCUGGAAAGGAGGAUGUGAGAGGCACAAUUCUUAAUACCACAGAACUUCCAAUUCCAGGUGCUGAUGGCAAUUUUCUACAGAAAAGCAGCUUGUGGAUGCUUUAAGUUUGUAUUGCAAUUAAAUGCAUGUUUUAGUGCUUUGAACAUUUUUGUAAUAAUAAAAUGGCAGAUAUAGAAUAAAUUUAAGUACACUGGGACUCUGACUACUCAGGACUGCCUUUAUAGGGACUGGUGGUAGAGGUAUCUCUUUCUAUCCUGUGGGAUUAUCCAUAGAAUUCAGCUAGUGAUUACAAUGAAGCAUUUUAAGACAAACCAACGCCAGUGAUGGCUGCAAUGCAAAGUCUGCCCUGUAAACUGCAGUGUUUUGGGAGCUGAUUGACAAGCAGCUUAGACAUCUGGACACCAGGAGCAGAGCAGACAGCUGGAGCUGCCAACCUUUUCAGCUUAUCCCGAGCACUCAGAAAUGUAAGAGGUGUGCAGUGUCAAGAGCAGGGGAAAUUCAAAGUCCAUCCCAUUGUUGCCAUCUUUGUAUCUGCCAGUCCAAGCCUGGAAGUAAAACCAGCAAGCCAUAGUGCAAAGUUCCAAGUACCUCUGCCCAUCCUGGAAAUAAAAGGUAUUGGAAGACCAAUUUUCCCAUUGUGUUCAGUCUUUGGCCUCAAUGGUGCUCAUCUGUAUAUGGUAGGAUAUGGGAUAGUCCAGUGCACCAACUUCUUCCCUCCAGCUUUGGCCUCUACCAAAGCACAAUCCCUGCAUUAUCCACUGCCCACUGCUUCCUCCGAGACUUCCACAGGAGUGCCUAGGGAAGUCAAAUUAUGCUCCUAAGGUGCUGGCUGGCCCAGCAUAUAGAACAAGAUAUACUCUACAUAUCGUUGAAGGAAAUAGCAUUUAUAUUUCUGCUGUUCAAGGAGUCCUAAGGUCUGCUCAGUAACUAUGUUAAGCCCUCCUUAUACUUCAGAUUCACAGAUUUCAGGGGGCCAGUUGAGGGCAUAUAUUCCCAAGAACUCAUUCAAUCAGACCAAACCAGGAGGUUUAGGGAGUUUGCCCAGUCCUUUAAGUGACUUCAGCACUUCUUUCUCAGUGUACAUCCAGCAUGAAACAUUUCCUGCAAAAAAUUGUAGAUAUUGAAGAGAAAAUUUAAAAAGGCAUGUAGGCGCCUAACAUGUCACUCCAGAAGAAUGCAAUUGCCUGAAUUGAUGUCAUCCAUCUGAUUUCUUACACACCUGAAGAUGAGCUCCAGUAGGUACCUAGAAGUUUCUAACACAGCUCUGGUGACUGUCUCUGGAUCAAGUGCGUACUGUUGACGGUGCCUCUGGAUCACCCCCACCAGCUGAGCUUUG